AGAUGUUAUAAUGGUAUAUACGAGUUCUGAUAAAGACCGUUAUUUAUUCAGAGAAACGUUAUUAAAAGUACCUAUGUCAAGUUUCCUAUCUCACGGCAAAUAUUCGCAUAAUGUCGUAAUAUUGUAAUUUUACAGUUUUUUACACCAUAGUAUGUAGGUAUUUAUGUACGAAAUACAGCUAGUUGUAUACAUACAGUGGUAGAUAUUUGUUUUUAUGACUCGUUGAAAUUUUAGGACCUUGAUAUUAUGUACGCCCACAUAUCUAAUACUCAAAACGUUUUGUGCGCACA